UGAAUCUGACAACAGAGGCUUACGACCCCUUA
rnacentral:piRNA from 1 species